AAAAAAGUUAAUAUGUAAGAACGGUGUAUUUUUUUGCGCUGUGACUGGCUUUUUUACGUUUCACUAAAAUAGUAAUGCAGUGUGACAAAUACAUUUUUAAAAGUUGAAAUAAUCAAUCUAGUCUCGCAAUUAAUAUGAUAACUUAAAUGUGCAUAUACAAAAAUAAAAAUACAAAAAAAGUAAAAUAGUUUAAUUUAAAAAAAAUAAAAAUAAAACUACACUCUAUAAACCCUAGAGAAUAAAUCAAAUCUUCAGCAGAUAGUAAAAAUGUGUUCGAGUGUAGUCCGCGUGCUGUGAGACAGUGAGGAGUGAUGAUCACGUGACGCGGGCGUUCUGUAGGCUACUGUAGCCUCGGCUUGAUUCUUUGAAAGAGGAAACGCGCCGCACUCGCUCCUCACUGGCAUCAUCUCCCUAGAGAAUAAAUCAAAUCUUCAGCAGAUAGUAAAAAUGUGUUCGAGUGUAGUCCGCGUGCUGUGAGACAGUGAGGAGUGAUGAUCACGUGACGCGGGCGUUCUGUAGGCUACUGUAGCCUCGGCUUGAUUCUUUGAAAGAGGAAACGCGCCGCACUCGCUCCUCACUGGCAUCAUCUCUGAGGGAACAGAGCUCAGAACAUAUUUUGUUUAUUUACGCUACAAUUAGCUAACUAAAUAACCUAAGCAGCCGGUCGUUUUUCUUUAACCUCAUCAUUUUGCUAUUUUACCACUAUUACGCCCAACAACCAUUAGAAACGCCAACCUUUCUUCGAAGACUACACCUGUCCCAGCAUCAUCUGAGUGAGAUUCCGCAAAGCUACUGAAUCUCAGUGCUGCU
rnacentral:lncRNA from 1 species